ACUUCUGUAGUGGAGCUGUAAGGAUUCUCGUAGAGCAGUUUUACUUCUUUUAAAGAGUCAUUUGGCUUCAAAAUUGACCCCGUCGCCUGCUUCAAACUGUAGAUUGGAAAAUGGAUGCGAUUUCGGUGGAAACGAAGAUUGAAUAUACUGGUCUUCUGGAACUAAUGGAAAAACUCACAAAGGAGACUCAAAAACUUACAGAAUACCAGAAUAAGAUGCUAAAACAAAAUCUAGCCUUGAACCACCUUAACAAGUCAUUCAAUCAGGCCCAGUCUCGUCUGGAAAGAAUAGCAGCUGCGAAAUGUGGCAGUGAGCUCCUAAACCUUUAGGCUUUGAAAACAGCCCUCCUCAGCUGAAUAUACAACCAAGAAAACACAGCAUGUCCAAUGUCUCUAAAUACAUGUAAUGGUAUUGUUUGUUCCCUAAAUAUAUAUUUUUGGUAGUAAAAAUGCAAAAUGCAGUUCUUUUUUAACAUUAA